UUUUUUUUCCUGUUUUUUUCACAGAGACAGUCUCCUGAUGUGGAACAGGUGGCUCGUCCAGGUCACUGGGCGCAGCGGUGGCCCUGAAAGCCACCUCGGUGCGAGGCUGCGGCUGCCAGAUAAAGGUCAGUCCCUCGCCGGUCCCCGGCACCUUCCCGGCAGCAGGUGGCCUCCGGGACCAUCUCACACGUCCGCCUGACGAAGAAGCCACGCCGCACCUUUGGGGAACUGUUUGCAGCAGAGCGAGGCGUGAUCACAACCAGGCGGAAGGGUGUCGUAGUCACUGUGCCGCGGACACGAGGGCCAGAGCCUGAAUAUUCGAUUACACGUCAGUCACAGCACAUUAGGCAAUCUUCCAGUCUGCCAGCUCUGCCCUUCCCAGCUCCAAGCGAAGUGUCAGCAGGAAAGAAGUAGCACGGAGGCGAUGCCAGAGCCGGCUAGCUAAGGGAGCCUCGAUCCCAUCAGAAAAGCCCUUUAUCAGCGAUUCAGUAGGCCCAGGGGGGUCUCCCCAGCUGUUUGUGCCUGGUGAAGGUGGAUGCAAACCGCCCCCGGUGCAGUGCUGCUCACUUUGUCCCUGGCUUUCAAGGUAUAAAUGUGCAUAAAAGCAACAGAUGAUGCAGCGAGGAAUUCGGGAACUGCCAUUCCAGCAGCAUUACCAAAAUAUCCCGCUCUUUCAAAUAAAUGGCUAUAAAAACACGUCGCUCUGACCGAGCAUUUUCUGGACCGUUUUGCUUGCACAUUACUUAGCGAAAAUAUGUUAGGAGUGGAAGUUGAGAGCUGUGGACAAUUUCCCACUUUGUAUAAGCCAGAAAAAUCCCUUCUCAGCUCCAAGAAGGAAACUACUUUCCAAAAUGUCAGCUCAUGCAGAAAGUCCCAGUUCAGCUGGAACGAGCCGCUCUGUUUGCGCUCGGCGGUUUCUGGAAUAACACAAACCCGCGUACACCCAUGCAAGGAAGCACAAGCAUGACAGGAUAAUGCGGGUAGAUUAUUCCCAUCGGAGCUCGGGGCUUAUUAUGGUUUUUGUUAAGCAUCCUCCACCUAAUAGCCACGGCCACAGGAGAAGUAAAUGGUGGCGUUCCCGUUCUGGAUCUUCUGCUUCCGCAGCUGAGCUGCGCCUCCUGUUUGGAGACCUUCAAAGUGAAUUGGAAAUCAAAGGAGACAACGCGGCCGUCACUGGGUGGGACGCUCAUAAACAGAACUUCAGCUUUGUCUACUUUGAUUUCGGAUUCACUUUGAGUGUUUUUCUGACAGGAGGGGCAGGCAUCACAAGGCUCUCGGUGGCAGCAUCGCCAUUAGCUUUUCCAGUGACCGCUACUGUUUAGCUGGAGAGACAGCAGGAUUGUGGUGGGUGUCAAUGGAAAUAACCCUUAUGAUGCUUCCAAAGCUUCAAAUCUGUCCUCAGGUUCCAAAACUCCAAGAAGUACUUAGAGGGAGAGACUGCCUAUGGAGGGGAGAGGACAGAGUGAUGGAUGAAACAAUAAAAACAACAUGGCUGCUACAAGUAAAAGCGGGAUGCUGCCAUUUGUGAUGCAUUAUGUGUACGAUUGUGUUAGAGGGAUGGGAUCCGGACCCUGCGCUGUGUGACGGGUGCGGGACGAGACCCUGCACGGGGCAGGAUGGCUGGACCAUGGAGGUAGGCUGUCUGAUGUGAAAGACCACCACCACGAGGAGUUACCUGCCAGGGUAAGGGCAGCCCUUGGCAGUAGGGUGGGGUGGGAAGGGAACGAGUCCAUGUUGGGCAGCACUUGGAAAAAAAUUACUGCUUUCCCCUUUUAUCACCCUCUCCUCCUUGACCACGUUUGAAAAGGGCAUCUUCAGUGCCGACGGCAGUGUUGUUGCAGACAGAAGGGCCCAGCUGAGAGCAGCCGGUGAUGUGUGCCUUACUUUUAAAAAGAAAGAUGUGUCUUGACAGCUUGCCAAAUACCACAUCUGCCUCUCUUUGCACCUCCGCGGGUGAAGCUGAGCAGCAAGGUGGCGAAGAGCAGCAAACCUACCCAUUAACUGUGUGAGGGCCGCUCUCUCCUUUUCUGCCCGACAGCUGUAGGAGAUCCUCGGCCUGGGAGGACCUCCCCGAAGCCCCAUCUGCAACACCUGGGGAGAGGCACAGCUGCCAGCUCCCUGCCGCGGGGCCAGGAGGCACCACCAGCUACCACCACAGGUGGGCUGGGAAGAAGCUAAGGUAAUAUAUUGAGCCCUUUUAAGUGUUUUCUUUUUCUUCAAACUCUCUUCCAUUGGUGUUUUCUUCUUCUUCAUGAUGGACCUCUGUUGGGGAAUGUCGAUGAGGCCACGCAAGCCAUGAUGAUCAUUGAGUUGGCUUUCUCUUCAGGUGCUGAAGCUGUGUCCUGGCUAACCAGUAUCUAUUCUACUACUGCUUCCAUACUGACAGAGCAAAGUCCUGUCCUUCCCUGGGGACGUGUUGGUGUGACACAGAAGGCCGACCUUCUUCAGAGAGGCUUAGAAGAUUGCACCCGUAAUGCUCAGACCUCCAAAUGGCUUAACUAUCACAUCUUCCUGCCCUACAUCACUCCGUGCCACUGUGUUGCAUCCGUAUACCUCUGGCUUCACCAUGCUUUCUGCAGUGACACUUGAUAACCCACUACAGGAGAGGAUGCAUGCACAGGGUACAUCAGAGGAAUAGAAAAUUGUUUUUCUGCAAGGGCAAACUCAGUCCUUCUAGGGACUGUUUAAAAUCCUUCCUUGCUUAAUUAAAUGCGGACAUUCCCACAGCUAUAUGGACUUCAUUUUGCCUUUUCAACUGGAAGCUGCACAACAAGAUAAAGGAUCUACAUCUAUUAUGUGUACGUCAGGAGAAUGCAGCAAAAAUGGUCAGUAUAAAGGCAUCAUUCAUUAUAAGCUUGGAGUAGUCUUUUAUUUGGAAUCAUUAUUAUUCAUUCAUUAUAUCAUUCCUGGGAUGAAAUACUUCUCUGUGUACAGGGACUGCAUGGGGCCCUCAGUCCUGCCUAGCCCCUUCAAUUUUAAGGGUUGUUUGGCUGAAAAGUGGCUGUGCCAAAAUGGCAGUAGUUAUUCUCAACAGCAGGACAGCCGAGAGGGGAGGAACAGCACCCUUCACUUAUGUGCCCCCAUCUUGUGGUCUGCCACUUCUGCACAGCCGUUCGGCAAGCAGCACAGCUCCAGGUUUGUUCCUGAGUGAGCACGUGGUCUACGUACUAUUUAAUGGCAAUGCCACGAAACAGGAGAAGAAAACCCAAGGUGAACAUAAGACUGUGGGUUGACUUUGUGGGCUGACACGUCUUACAAACUCAGCUCAAGGAGUGUGGAAACCACAGAGGGGUUAUAAGGUGGAUCUGCACGGUGUCAUUUCUCUGCCUCUGUUGUACCUCAGCAGCGCUAGGAGACACAUCACUAUUUUUUAGAUGUUCUGUGUUGUCUUAAGCUUCCUCAGGAGGUACAAGAGCUUGUAAUGUAUUUUCUUAGGUAAGUAUUUUUCUGUCACUACAUGCCUCAGCAUAUCAUGAGAACCAUAAUGCAAAUUGAGCAUUAUAGAUCUAGAUGGUGAAACAUGGUGAUCCAAAAGUCUGUGGCUGGAGAAAGUCAAACUUGAACACUGUACAAUGCUGAAUUUGCCAUUUCAAUAUACUUGUUCAUGGGUAAUCCCAAUAAUGUCUAACUGCAGCAAAGGAUACAUAACUGUUCCAUGUUCUAGCAGAGGAAAAAUUUGGGCUUUCGCUUGGAGACACUGAUUUCUUGAGCAGAAAUAGGAUAUGCAUAGAUGUCAUAAAUCAUGCUUCAUUUUGCCAAAGAAUGUAAUUAUCUUUGGUAUUUUGGAUGACAUUUGCAGUAAGAUUUGGACACCACACACACAUUCCUUUUAAAAUUAUCAGUUAUUUCAUACUGGAGUUCUACUUACUUCUUUAGAUGCUCGAAGAGGAUUUUCAUUGUGUCAUAGUUUGGCCUAGGGAGCUUUUUUACCAGGGUCCUUAUGGCUUUAAUGCGAGUGGCAUUGUCUGGGA